rnacentral:misc_RNA from 1 species
GAUGAAGAACGCAGCGAAAUGCGAUAAGUAGUGUGAAUUGCAGAAUUCAGUGAAUCAUCGAAUCUUUGAACGCACAUUGCGCCCCUUGGUAUUCCAUGGGGCAUGCCUGUUCGAGCGUCAUUUGUACCCUCAAGCUUUGCUUGGUGUUGGGUGUUUGUCCAUUCUCUUGCAGAGGGACUCGCCUUAAAGUAAUUGGCAGCCAGUGUUUUGGUUUUGAAGCGCAGCACAAGUCGCGAUUCAACGCUAUACGCCAGCUUCCACAAGCCUUUUUCACUUUUGACCUCGGAUCAGGUAGGGAUACCCGCUGAACUUAAGCAUAUCAAUAAGCGGAGGA